rnacentral:rRNA from 1 species
CAAUAGCGUAUAUUUAAGUUGUUGCAGUUAAAAAGCUCGUAGUCGGAUUUUGGCUGAGAACGAUCGGUCCGCCGUUAGGUGUGCACUGAUUGGUCUCAGCUUCCUGGUGAGGAGGUGUGCUUCACGGCCACUUAGUCACCGUGGUUACUUUGAAAAAAUUAGAGUGUUCAAAGCGGGCUUACGCUUGAAUAUAUUAGCAUGGAAUAACACCAUAGGACUCCCGUCCUAUUUCGUUGGUCACGGGACGGGAGUAAUGAUUAAGAGGAACAGUUGGGGGCAUUCGUAUUUCAUUGUCAGAGGUGAAAUUCUUGGAUUUAUGAAAGACGAACUUCUGCGAAAGCAUUUGCCAAGGAUGUUUUCAUUGA